rnacentral:rRNA from 1 species
AGUGAACGCUGGCGGUAGGCCUAACACAUGCAAGUCGAACGGCAGCACAGUAAGAGCUUGCUCUUACGGGUGGCGAGUGGCGGACGGGUGAGGAAUACAUCGGAAUCUACUUUUUCGUGGGGGAUAACGUAGGGAAACUUACGCUAAUACCGCAUACGACCUACGGGUGAAAGCAGGGGAUCUUCGGACCUUUCGCGAUUGAAUGAGCCGAUGUCGGAUUAGCUAGUUGGCGGGGUAAAGGCCCACCAAGGCGACGAUCCGUAGCUGGUCUGAGAGGAUGAUCCGCCACACUGGAACUGAGACACGGUCCAGACUCCUACGGGAGGCAGCAGUGGGGAAUAUUGGACAAUGGGCGAAAGCCUGAUCCAGCCAUACCGCGUGGGUGAAGAAGGCCUUCGGGUUGUAAAGCCCUUUUGUUGGGAAAGAAAAGCAGCAGGUUAAUCCCCCGCUGUUCUGACGGUACCCAAAGAAUAAGCACCGGCUAACUUCGUG